UACGUAGGGUCCGAGCGUUGUCCGGAAUUAUUGGGCGUAAAGGGCUCGUAGGCGGCUUGUCGCGUCGUCCGUGAAAACCUGCGGCUCAACUGCAGGCUGGCGGUCGAUACGGGCAGGCUGGAGUUCGGUAGGGGAGACUGGAAUUCCUGGUGUAGCGGUGAAAUGCGCAGAUAUCGGGAAGAACACCGAUGGCGAAAGCACUCUGCUGGGCCGAAACUGACACUGAGAGACGAAAGCUAGGGGAGCGAAUGGG
rnacentral:rRNA from 1 species